AUAAUACUCCCUCCCUCCGGAAAUACUUGUCGGAGAAAUGAGUGUAUCUAGAUGAUACAUCCAUUUUUAUCUAUUUUUCCGACAAUUAAUUCCGGACAGAGGGAGUAUUUC
rfam:Hordeum vulgare subsp. vulgare, WGS project CAJW01000000 data, contig: morex_contig_75422